rnacentral:rRNA from 1 species
AAUCUGCCUGGUAGUGGGGGAUAACGUCCGGAAACGGGCGCUAAUACCGCGUACGUCCUACGGGAGAAAGCAGGGGAUCUUCGGACCUUGCGCUAUCAGAUGAGCCCAGGUCGGAUUAGCUAGUAGGUGAGGUAAUGGCUCACCUAGGCGACGAUCCGUAACUGGUCUGAGAGGAUGAUCAGUCACACUGGAACUGAGACACGGUCCAGACUCCUACGGGAGGCAGCAGUGGGGAAUAUUGGACAAUGGGGGCAACCCUGAUCCAGCCAUGCCGCGUGUGUGAAGAAGGUCUUCGGAUUGUAAAGCACUUUAAGUUGGGAGGAAGGGCUUUAGGUUAAUACCCUGAAGUUUUGACGUUACCAACAGAAUAAGCACCGGCUAACUCUGUGCCAGCAGCCGCGGUAAUACAGAGGGUGCAAGCGUUAAUCGGAAUUACUGGGCGUAAAGCGCGCGUAGGUGGUUCAGUAAGAUGGGUGUGAAAUCCCCGGGCUUAACCUGGGAACUGCUUUCAUAACUGCUGAGCUAGAGUACGGUAGAGGGUAGUGGAAUUUCCUGUGUAGCGGUGAAAUGCGUAGAUAUAGGAAGGAACACCAGUGGCGAAGGCGAC